rnacentral:rRNA from 1 species
GACGAACGCUGGCGGCGUGCUUAACACAUGCAAGUCGAACGGAAAGGCCCUGCUUUUGUGGGGUGCUCGAGUGGCGAACGGGUGAGUAACACGUGAGUAGCCUGCCCUUGACUUUGGGAUGACUUCAGGAAACUGGGGCUAAUACCGGAUAGGAGCUCCUGCUGCAUGGUGGGGGUUGGAAAGUUUCGGCGGUUGGGGAUGGACUCGCGGCUUAUCAGCUUGUUGGUGGGGUAGUGGCUUACCAAGGCUUUGACGGGUAGCCGGCCUGAGAGGGUGACCGGCCACAUUGGGACUGAGAUACGGCCCAGACUCCUACGGGAGGCAGCAGUGGGGAAUAUUGCACAAUGGGCGGAAGCCUGAUGCAGCAACGCCGCGUGCGGGAUGACGGCCUUCGGGUUGUAAACCGCUUUCGCCUGUGACGAAGCGUGAGUGACGGUAAUGGGUAAAGAAGCACCGGCUAACUACGUG